rnacentral:rRNA from 1 species
AUUGAACGCUGGCGGCAUGCUUUACACAUGCAAGUCGAACGGCAGCGCGGGCUUCGGCCUGGCGGCGAGUGGCGAACGGGUGAGUAAUGCAUCGGAACGUGCCCAGUAGUGGGGGAUAGCCCGGCGAAAGCCGGAUUAAUACCGCAUACGACCUGAGGGUGAAAGCGGGGGACCGAAAGGCCUCGCGCUAUUGGAGCGGCCGAUGUCGGAUUAGCUAGUUGGUGGGGUAAAGGCUUACCAAGGCGACGAUCCGUAGCUGGUCUGAGAGGACGACCAGCCACACUGGAAAUGCGCCGCGCCCAAGCCUCCGAGGGGGGGCGGCGGGGGGGAUUUUUGGACAAGGGGGCCACCCCUUACCCAGCCAUCCGGGGGGGGGGAAGAGGGCCUUCGGUUUGUAAACCUGUUUUUUGGGGGAAGAACUCCUUGGGCCUAAUACCCGGGGGGGAUGGCGGUCCGGGAAAAAUAAGCCCCGGCAAACUACGGC